GGGGUAUCAGAAGGUUAAUUUUUAUAUAUUUUUAAAAUUUGAAAAGAGUUAGCAGCAUUUGAUUCAGUCACUCAGCAUUAGAUCUGUCCUAAGUCCCAUUCCAGACCAAGGUCUGGAAACACCAGGACUAAGUAUAUGAGUGUGAUUUCCUCCCUUUGUCAGACUAAUUCCCAUUCCUGACAUCUCCGUCAGCACAUGCUCUCCUGUAAAUAUGUUGAUACCAUAUGCACACCUCCUUACGUGUUGACUGCCCAGGCCAGCCCUGUCUGCCUGUUAUAGUCCUGCUAUGUUGUUCAUUGGAAUAACAGUUGUACAAUGUGCAGCUGCCCAAGAGUGCUGUGGUUUCUCUUAAACAUGAUUCUGGUUUGUGAGUGCCUAGUUGACAGUAAGUGGGAGAGUGUGAAGGUGAUUAAGGUUAAAAAAAUGAAGAAGAUAUACAUUAGGGUUCCUAUAUAUAUAUUAAUGUGUGUUACAUUUUAUGCAUAUAGGGUGCAUAACCUCGCAAUGGGCUUACGGUGGCAAAAAUUCUAAUCCCAUCUGGUUAUACUAUACAUAAA